rnacentral:rRNA from 1 species
AAGCUCGUAGUUGAAAUUGUGUCCUGCGGCGUCGGUCCGCCUUUGCGGCGCGACAGACGCGUCUGCGGGGCUUCUCGCCGGUGUGUUUUUAUCGGUACUCGUUAUCGAUGAAUCCUCGCGGCUGUUUACUUUGAACAAAUUAGAGUGCUCAAAGCGGGCUGAUUUUCGCCUGAAUAUUGUGCGCAUGGAAUAAUAGAAUAGGACCUCGGUUCAAUUUUGUUGGCUUUCUGAUACCAGAGGUAAUGAUUAAUAGGGACAACUGGGGGCAUUCGUAUUGCGACGUUAGAGGUGAAAUUCUUGGAUCGUCGCAAGACGGACUAAAGCGAAAGCAUUUGCCAAAGGUGUUUUCAUUAAUCAAGAACGAAAGUUAGAGGUUCGAAGGCGAUUAGAUACCGCUGUAGUUCUAACCAUAAAUGAUGCCAGCCAGCGAUCCGUCGAAGGUAUUUAUAUUGAUUCGAUGGGCAGCUCCCGGGAAACCAA